ensembl:lncRNA
GGAGGUUGUGAAAUAUGGAAUAUUGAUUGAGUUAAUCAGCUGUUAAUAGAAGGAAGACGUGCACAGAAUAACUGAUUAAGAUCAAGAUAUUAUGUUGGUAAACAACACUUACAUUCUGUCCGCAUCGGCAAAUUCAAACAUGAAUACACGCAUCACGUUGACAAAUGUCCCGAUAACAGGAAGUGUGCGGGAUAAUCAUCUAAAAAUAGGCCUAGGGAUAAAUGGAAGAAACUCCUAAAAAACUAAUUUGCACACAUCAUCCAACAAAGCCAUGGAUAAUGGUUGGAGAGUUGCACGUUGCCAGGCCUGGUCCCAGUGCAUGUAUUGCUAAGCGGCGUGAUGGCUCAGUACCCAUCGAGCUGCACAAAGGGAUUAGAACCCCCAUCCCCCUUGUGUCGAUGACGGAAUAAACAUGCUGUCUGUGGUGUUUAUCCGGCGCACUAUCGUGACUAUUUCAGUGUUUCAUCAAAGACACGUUAAUUAUUUGGGAGGUGGAGAAACAUCAACAAGCAAAUCCACCCCCUCAAGGUUCUGGAUAGCUCCCCCGUGGAGGGUUAGUCAAUAGAUGCACGCAGUAAUUAAGAUAAUAACGUUAAAAAACACACAAGGAAAUAUCAUGCCAUCGCUCUCUCCCAUCUUUCCAGUCACCAACGGUCUCGUAAUUAUGAUGAUGCUUUGAUUGGCUUUAAUUAGCACCGUGAGUUAAGGGUAUGGCUAAGAGCGGUGGGAUUCAAUGGGCUUCAUAACGAUUACUGGAUCCAGGAGGCAUCUGUCUGUCUGAUGAACAACCUCAAAGCACAGCGACAUAAUUAACCGUAAACGUGACAUGAAUCAUCCGCUCGGAUCCGCUUGAAGUAAAAUUGAAAGUUUGAAACAUGGAUUGAUGAGCGGAAGAGGGCGGUAAGGGGAAAUGGAGAAUGAGAAGGAGAUACAGGCCUUCCAUAGGCGAAGGAGACGAGGAGAGGCUGGUAAAUCAAUGCAGAAGAGUUAUUGUAGGUCUAUGGAGUGGAACAGAGACCUUUCAUAUCCGAUAAGCCUGCGCUUCGGUCGUCACCACGGCAACCACGUGGUCUGGAGUCUUGAGUCUAUCGCAUGAGGAAUACAAAGUGAAUUGAUUUGAUUGAAUGUUGUCUCCGGUUAUUUCCUUAUUAAUUAUUCAGCAGCUGAAUCUGUGAGCUGAAUAUAUUUGUACGAAGAGACAUGCCUGUUGCGGGUUGAGAAAGAGGUCUUCAGGCCUCGACUGGAAGCUAUUGAGUAACUUUAGACCUUUUUUUAACCUAUUUAAUUCAUGGCAUCUUCUUGAAUAACCCUCCAUUGGAUUUCCACUUUUAAUGAAAGUGGAUAAAAUGAAGGAUGGGCUUCAGUAGUGAUCACUGCCUGUCAUGAACAGAGAAGUAAUUCUGUAUUCUGAAAUGUGAAAAGGUUCCCUGAACAAAAGCCUCACCCAACAUGGUAACAAGUUGUUUCCUGUGUGGACAGGAAAGACAUGUCACUCAACCAAAACAAUGAAGGACUGACAACAAUGAAUCAUCUUUAGAAAUCCUAAGAAAGAGGGGAAAAUAAAUAACUGCUCCAGCCCCAUCGUUCCAAAUACUUUGAAUACUAAUUAUUAAUUUCAGAUGACAAUGAAGUGCUUUGUUUUGCUGAUAAUGCGGUGGGGUGGUGGGGUGUAAUCCCGUGGUCGUGGGUGAACUAGACUCAAAGAAAAGGGAGCCUAGAUGACUUCCCUCAGAGCCUUGAACCAAAGCACUUUCAGAGAGUAGCAUUCUUACAAACGUUCUGAUAUGUUAAAUACAAAUAUUACAUUUUCUGAAUACGUGUCACUGACUCAUUGCCAGAUAGAAAUACAAACACUGACAAUUUAUUAUGACUAUUAAAGGGGAACUAUGCUACUUUUUUGGAUUAUUUUACCUUUAUAUAACAGGGUAAGAGUCAUUGUAAUGCUUCUAUAACACUUUAUGGGUCGAUUGGUCGCUAUUUCGACUCCCCCUAGCACAUCUUGGCGGAAAAAGGGAAUAUGCAAGUUUCUGCCAGCGACCCGCUGCCCACUGUCGCGGGAUUCUCGGGUCUCACGAUGCACCAAAUUGCUUUAUGGCAAUACAGACCCACAAACACGGAACCGGCUCGAUAUAAACGAUAUAAAGUGGCGAAGGGAUUUUUACAUUCAUCAUGGAUCAGCCGACUAAAAAGAGACAGAGAAACCCAAUGUCGGAGAAACAGAAGAAGAGAAAAGGGACACUGACCGGCAGAGAGGCCAGACACGAGUAAACGUUGGCCGAGCUUCUCAAGAAUAGCGUGAACUGAAAGAAAAAGACUGCAAAUCGGAUGCCAUGUUGCAACUUGCCAUGGCCGUGUUGCUCUUGAAAUUGUACGUACCCUUGGGUGAACUUUGUCCUCUUUGUAUUGUGGCUUCUUGAUGUUGAUAGUCUCUGUAAAAAUGUGUUUGCUCGACCGUUUUAUUGUGAGCCCUGUAUGUGUUCUAGCUAGCUGGGUUGUUAGCAUACUCGCUACCAAACAAGUUUGUUUUCAUGUUUUGUUUUGCUGUUCGUCUGUCUCGCCCCCUCGUCACCCAGAUACAGGCUCAAUCCCCGAAUCCAGGUUCUUAUUUAUUUAGAUCACUAGUCCACUAUUCGAAUGCUUCAGAUUUUUCUAAGAGUGCAUAGCCUAUCAUGUGAUAUGUCCGGCUUACCAUAUAAUGCAGUACCCUGCGCGAGAGCUGCUAGUUAGCACAUAUUCGUAGGUAACAGAACUGUUGCGAUACGUGAACCUCCAUUAUAGCUUUAGCCAUGUUAUUCCUUUGGUAUAACAUGGUUAUACCCAGUUCCCCGCUUGUAAACAUGUUUGUAACAAGAUUGCUUUGUAUUUUUUCUUAGUUACAAGCGUUGGCAAACAGCAUUGUAAUGAGGCUUGAGGCUUGAUGACCCAAGACGGCUUGCUUGCCUACCCCAGUUCAGCAACCACCCACAUCCAAACUUGUGUGGGUACAAGUGUCACGAGGAAAUCGAGAGAACCCUCAAAAAGAUGUUACACAGCCGUAAGGCAAAAAACAAACCAUGAAGAAGGAGUUUGUUUCACUUGCAUUUCUUUCAAUAUCCAAAAUAAAUAUUUAUUUUGUUGAAUAAGUGUGUAUUAUUGAACAAAUGAAAGAAAGAUGGUGCAAACCUCUGUUAUUUAAAAAAAUGGAAACAUUUUAAUACCAUAUACAAUAAUAUUUAUUGCAUGCAUGCAUUUACACGUAAACAUGUGUCCCUAACCUUCCAGACUCAGCAGCAUCUGCCUGUGACAACUCUCCUGCGGGGACUAGCAACAGCAUACCGUCUCGAUCUCUGAAUCCAUUUCCCUGUAAUUCCGUACACAAGUGACGUACUUCAGCAGAUACAUAAAUGUACGAUUAGUGCGCAAAUUGUUCAUGCUAUCGUUAUGUAUUAUGUUAUCCAACACUCUUACAAUGAUCCUUCUGUUCAACAACCAAAGAUAAAACUAUUCUAAUCUAGGAUAUAACCUCUCCCCGUCAACUAUAAAAAAGGAUGGGUUUAUUGUAACACAUACACCAUUUCAAAAUGUAUAACCUUGUCUACGCUUUUUUUUUCUUUUUUUUCUACCUCGGACAUGGCUCAACGCAUUCGCCGGUCUGAGUACCAAAUGUGUUCGGCUGCCAGAUCCAAGGCAGUGGAGUUACCAUGGACAAAGAUGUCUUCAGCUUCAAAGAAGACACAUCUCUCAUUUAACAAACCAUUAAGUCAUUUAUUGGUACAGGCUUUAAUAAUUAAAAUACUUUUGGUAUGGAGCUUUUUAUAUUCUAAGGUUUAUGCCAAUAUUUGGAGGUGAGAACAUGAUGCUACUGCAUUUAAAGUCUCUAGUGCAAUCUGCUGUCUUCACCUGUAGCCAAUAUGUA